UUACCCAGUCACAGUGUUGCUGGGAAAGUUCAUUUUCUACACAAACUAAUUGAAAGUUCAGUUCACAAAUUUUAAAAUGAACUAGUUUGAAAUUUUAUGAACUAAGUUUGUGGUUUCAAAAAUGAAAAGUUUAUUAUUCUUUUCUCCCUCCAAUAAAACAAAAAGUUGCUUCAAGCUGUUACUCUCUGUCAUUUUGGUAUUUUCUCAUUGUUUUCACCCAUUUCAUUGACACUAUAUUUGCUUUAAUUAACUUUUCAUUUUUCGUGAAUGUAUAAUUUCGUGUUUGCCCAAAAAAUCAGAAAACAUUUAGAAUUUAGGACAUAAAAGUGCAAAGGUGCAAAGCCCAAAUAAAUGACUGAAACAGAAACAAUCUCAUUAAGACUAAGUAAUUUGUGGUUCAACGCCAUUGGGAGCACUGCGCCGUGUGACCGUUUCUGACCUGGGUUGCCAAAUCCCCCUGCCUUGUUUACAGUGUGUUUAGCAGGGUUUUAUUUUGAAGUCUAAGAAGAGAAAAACUGGUAUCUUUGAACGAAACUGUAAACCACCGUU